rnacentral:rRNA from 1 species
UGAGACCUGAUGCCGAGCCGAUUGUGGUGAAGUGGAUGAUCCUAUGCUGUCGAGAAAAGCCUCUAGCGAGUUUCAUGGCGGCCCGUACCCUAAACCGACUCAGGUGGUCAGGUAGAGAAUACCGAGGCGUUCGGGUGAACUAUGGUUAAGGAACUCGGCAAAAUGCCCCCGUAACUUCGGGAGAAGGGGGGCCAUUCCUGGUGAGAGCACGUGCUGCUCGAGCUGGGGGUGGCCGCAGAGACCAGCGAGAAGCGACUGUUUACUAAAAACACAGGUCCGUGCGAAGCCGUAAGGCGAUGUAUACGGACUGACGCCUGCCCGGUGCUGGAACGUUAAGGGGACCGGUUAGCUCACCUUCGGGUGGGCGAAGCUGAGAACUUAAGCGCCAGUAAACGGCGGUGGUAACUAUAACCAUCCUAAGGUAGCGAAAUUCCUUGUCGGGUAAGUUCCGACCUGCACGAAUGGCGUAACGACUUCUCGACUGUCUCAACCAUAGGCCCGGUGAAAUUGCACUACGAGUAAAGAUGCUCGUUUCGCGCAGCAGGACGGAAAGACCCCGGGACCUUUACUACAGUUUGAUAUUGGUGUUCGGUUCGGCUUGUGUAGGAUAGCUGGGAGACUGUGAAGCUCGGACGCCAGUUCGGGUGGAGUCGUCGUUGAAAUACCAGUCUGGUCGUGCUGGAUGUCUAACCUGGGUCCGUGAUCCGGAUCAGGGACAGUGUCUGAUGGGUAGUUUAACUGGGGCGGUUGCCUCCUAAAGAGUAACGGAGGCGCCCAAAGGUUCCCUCAGCCUGGUUGGCAAUCAGGUGUUGAGUGUAAGUGCACAAGGGAGCUUGACUGUGAGACCGACGGGUCGAGCAGGGACGAAAGUCGGGACUAGUGAUCCGGCGGUGGCUUGUGGAAGCGCCGUCGCUCAACGGAUAAAAGGUACCCCGGGGAUAACAGGCUGAUCUUCCCCAAGAGUCCAUAUCGACGGGAUGGUUUGGCACCUCGAUGUCGGCUCGUCGCAUCCUGGGGCUGGAGUCGGUCCCAAGGGUUGGGCUGUUCGCCCAUUAAAGCGGUACGCGAGCUGGGUUUAGAACGUCGUGAGACAGUUCGGUCCCUAUCCGCUGUGCGCGUAGGAGUCUUGAGAAGGGCUGUCCCUAGUACGAGAGGACCGGGACGGACGAACCUCUGGUGUGCCAGUUGUUCUGCCAAGGGCAUGGCUGGUUGGCUACGUUCGGGAGGGAUAACCGCUGAAAGCAUCUAAGCGGGAAGCCUGCUUCGAGAUGAGGACUCCCACCUCCAUGAGAGGGUAAGGCUCCCAGUAGACGACUGGGUUGAUAGGCCGGAUAUGGAAGCACGGUAACGUGUGGAGUUGACCGGUACUAAUAGGCCGAGGGCUUGUCCUC